UCGAUUUCGCAUAUUCUAGUUUCAUUCCUUUGGAAAUUGAUAUCCUUUGGCUUUCUUAUUCAAUUGAGCUUUAUAUUACUGCUUUGAAUUCUUGUAUGCUCUUGUCCUACAUGUAUUUGGAUACCUAAAUCUGUUAUGUAAACUUCAUAUUUGUAUCGUAAUGUUUUAUAUAGACACAUGCAUUCUGUUGUUCCGCAUGUGUUUCCGAUAUGUCCCAAUUUAUUGUUCACAAUACCCUUUUGUACUCUGGUGUUUGUGAAAUUAUUUGGACUUUUGCCAGAAAUGGUAAAGGGUAUGUGCUUAGAGCCCGCGAUGCUCUAGAUUAUGUUUGGUGGUCAUUCAGAAAUGGAUGGACCAUAUUAUGUUUGGAAUCCCACUUCACCAUCUAUCUGUUUGAUAUGAAAUUCAGAGCCGACCUAGCACUUGGGCAGGGUGAGAGGGCUCGAGUAGGAAAGAGCUACCCGUGGAUGGAGUCGAGAACUCAUCAUGGCGUGGAGCCACCACUGAGUUAAACCUCACAUGCACUAUGCUAGGGUACGACGUCUGAGCUUCUGUUU
rnacentral:lncRNA from 1 species